rfam:Glossina morsitans morsitans, isolate Yale, WGS project CCAG01000000 data, contig: ctg10015562
UAAAUUACUGGGGGGUAAUUUUUAGUACGUAAACGCCUUGAAUGGCGAAUCGUGCAUGCUGCUACUAAGAACUAGCAGUAUCUUUUGAAGAUUUUCUACCUCC